rnacentral:tRNA from 1 species
CGGAGUGUGGUAUAACGGUAUUACGCACGCUUCGGGUGCGUGUAAUUCGGGUUCAAUUCCCGGCACUCCGA